UCCUCCAGUAAUUAUUUCAGUCAUGGUGCGACACAGUUAACAUACAUUAAGAUUUUGCCUUUUCUACACUGAAAUACAUGGUGGUGAGGAAAAGAAAAAGAGCCCUGGGGCACAUGAGAGGAAGUUAGCUGGCACAUUCUGGGAGUGGCUCUGCAGUGACUCGGAGCUUCCAUUGGUGGCUGCUUUGUGACUACAAGAAAAUGAAUUGGUGGGUUCCUCUGAAAUCCCUCUAGGCUGGUAGAGAUGCUGUAGGCUGACUGGUAGCUCCAGCACACGGGGUGGCUGGGGCCAGAAAUGCCAUUUUAACUGUAAGCUGCUUUCACAAGUACUGCUGUGAAGAGGAAUCACCACGAUAUCCU